CCUCCCAUUCUCCACCCAGCCGCCACACACGCCGAACCCCGACGGCCGACACCCCUCAUCUCGAACUCUUGAUCUGCCCGUGACUCCGCGGGUCCCGCGGGAUCCCGACUCCCCCAAUCCCUAUCCUCCAAGACCACGCCGACCUCCUCCCUGCAGCCAGUGCUAGAACCACGCUUCCGUCUUCCCAACAGCGGACGGUCAAAUCUUGGACAGAGAACAGCGCCUGCGGCCUGCACGAUCAGGAGUAAUGCCGUCACACCAACCUACCGAUAGCUCCAAGUGCCAGCCUCCGGCAAAUGCUGCCUCUGGUCUUCUUGUGACUCCAGGUGAUAUUGAAGUUGAAGGGCAUAGAUGUAUCUUGUUUGUGUGUGAAAUGACGAAUGUACUAUGAUGAACUAUGAAGUGAUGAUGGACUAUGCUUCAUAUUUUUGCUGUGAACUACAAGUUCCUGUAUGUCAAUAUGUGAUGUUUGAUGCCUCGUGCCUGUGUAUUGGUUGGAAGCUGGAGGGCACACGGGCAUGCCCGUGGGUAACACAUGCCCGCGGAUGGUGGGUGACGGGUGCGGGCGCGGGCGAGCAGCGUGGGAUGGGGUCGCCUCCCUCGGCGGCCUCCUAGCGGCACAACGUGGGGCAGGCCUACCUCCCUCGGCCGGCGUGCUAGGGGCGGCAGGGACGGGCGGCCACGGUGGAGGCUGCCUCCCUAGUAGGCUCGUGCCGGAGUCGCGCGGGGCGCUUCCAUGGCCGGCAGCGAUGCACCUCCACACCCGUUGCCCCCUUUUGUCUUCCUGCUCCUGCACCAAACUCAGCACUGCCAGGGGAGAUUUUUAACCUUCUGAUUUCAGAUUCAAGCACAGUUACUGAACUCGAUCUUUAGUGAGACUUGUAUAGUUCCAAAGCAUUGUUUCAGAUCCUGUGAUGUUUUUGUGCGGCUAAAUUUAUUCAAAGGAUUGUGCUUCAGCUCUUAAUAUAUACAAGAAGAAUGAAUCUCAGUCACACCUAGGAAUGCUUAAAAAAUAUCUGAAUUAAUGUUCUAUUAGUGAGUUCUGUAGAUGCCUGAUUAAUCAUUAGUACAUCUGUGACAUGUAUCCAUAGAUAUGUUGUGAUUUUCUUCUGAUUCCAUGGGCAGUUCAUGCCAUUUUAUUUUCUGAAUUGAUCUACAACCAGUAUUUCUGAAUUUCUAGUAGCUCGGAUAAGUUUAUUUUAUUAACUUUUUUAUUUGCUGGUUGCUGCGUUUAGUUGUCUAAUAUUUGGGUAAUGAUCCAUGUUUACUUUGCUUCUGUUCAGAGUAUUGGUCCAGUGGCUUCAUAGGAAGUGUUUUUUGCUUCGGAGUGAGGCUUCAAAUUGUUGCUGUGAAGUUAGUUUAUAAUUGAAUGAUAAAAUUGGAGGAAAGCAGCUACAUAGGCUACAACCCUAUCCCUCUACAGACUGCAGGUCAUUGAGAGACACAAGUCAUGUGGAAAAAAGAAAAAAGGAGUACUUAUCCUUAAUUCCUAUGCAUUUUUGCUAAUAGGAAAGUAUGGACAACUAAAAUAUUUAGAGAAAGCUUUAUGCCUAUAUGCUGGCGAUGGACUUCUAGAAGAACGGAGAAUUACAGAAAGGUUUAUUGGUAACUGCUGGUGUCGAUGGGGAAUGAAUAGAUCAAUAAGAGAACUCAUAUUUAGUUUUAUUUUAUUAUGCCAAACAUAGUUGCAAACUUAUAGUCAGAGAUGAUGUUUUUAUUCUGCUGUGGUCAUGUUUAUUUUAGCAGUACUCUAGUCAUUGUGUUAUUACUUUGGUUGAGACAUAUAUUAGAAGUUAAUGAAGGUUUGAGUUCUUAUA